GCCUGCGUAGCUCAGUGGAUAGAGCAAUCCUCUCCUAAGGGAUGCGUCAUACGUUCGAUUCGUAUCGUGGGCA
rfam:Asian citrus Psyllid, Diaphorina citri - Florida Strain, whole genome shotgun sequence.